GUGCAGGCAGCCGCGGUAAUUCCAGCUCCAAUAGCGUAUAUUAAAGUUGUUGCGGUUAAAAAGCUCGUAGUUGGAUCUCGGCAAGUAGAGGGCGGUAUGCUUCGUAGCAUUACUGCCCUAUUACUUGUAGUUUUGCCAGAGGUUCCUGGGUGCUCUUAAUCGAGUGUCUAGGGAUGCUGGCAGGUUUACUUUGAAAAAAUUAGAGUGCUCAAAGCAGGCUAUUACGCUUGAAUAUUCGUGCAUGGAAUAAUAGAAUAGGAAGUUGUUUCUAUUUUGUUGGUUUUCGGAAAUCGACUUAAUGAUUAAUAGGGACAGUCGGGGGCAUUUGUAUUCAAACGACAGAGGUGAAAUUCUUGGACCGUUUGAAGACAAACUACUGCGAAAGCAUUUGCCAAGAAUGUUUUCAUUAAUCAAGAACGAAAGUUAGAGGUUCGAAGGCGAUUAGAUACCGCCCUAGUUCUAACCAUAAACGAUGCCAGCUAGCGAUCUGAGGACGUUUUUUUUGUAGACUCCUCAGGAAGCUUCCGGGAAACCAAAGCGUGUGGGUUCCGGGGGAAGUAUUGGUUUGCAAAGCUGAAACUUAAAGGAAUUGACGGAAGGGCACCACCAGGAGUGGAGCCUGCGGCUUAAUUUGACUCAACACGGGAAAUCUCACCAGGCCCGGACACUGGAAGGAUUGACAGAUUGAGAGCUCUUUCUCGAUUCGGUGGGUGGUGGUGCAUGGCCGUUCUUAGUUGGUGGAGUGAUUUGUCUGGUUAAUUCCGAUAACGAACGAGACUCUGUCCUGCUAAAUAGUGUCAGCCUCUCUUCUGGGCUGACAAUUCUCCUUAGAGGGACUGGCGGCUCCUAGCCGCACGAGAUAGAGCAAUAACAGGUCUGU
rnacentral:rRNA from 1 species